GCACGGAUGGCCGAGUGGUCUAAGGCGCCAGACUCAAGUGCAAAGCUUCGUACGUGUCUGGUACGGUGAGUGUUCUGGUAUCGUUAUCGAUGCGUGAGUUCGAAUCUCACUCCGUGCA
rnacentral:tRNA from 1 species